rnacentral:rRNA from 1 species
CCUACGGGUGGCAGCAGUGGGGAAUUUUGCGCAAUGGGCGAAAGCCUGACGCAGCAACGCCGCGUGAGUGAUGAAGGCUUUCGGGUCGUAAAGCUCUGUCAGGGGGAAAGAAGUGUAUUGUGGUUAAUACCCAUGAUACUUGACGGUACCCCCAAAGGAAGCACCGGCUAACUCCGUGCCAGCAGCCGCGGUAAUACGGGGGGUGCGAGCGUUGUUCGGAAGUGUUGGGCGUAAAGCGCGAGUAGGAGGUGAAAGCCCCGGGCUCAACCUGGGAAGUGCAUUGGAUACUGGCAGACUUGAAUACGGGAGAGGGUGGUGGAAUUCCUGGUGUAGGGGUGAAAUCCGUAGAUAUCAGGAGGAACACCGGUGGCGAAGGCGGCUGCCUGGACCGAUAUUGACGCUGAGACGCGAAAGCGUGGGUAGCAAACAGGAUUAGAUACCCGAGUAGUC